GGGGAACUCUGGCUCAAAUUUUCAAUAAAACAUGGGAAGGACAAUGUCUUUUUGAUAAAUAGAGCUGUAUUUCAUUCAAAGAUAACACAAAAUAGAUGGACAUGAUCUAAAUCUUACUACUAUUGUGGUGAUUGUGAAGUUCUGUUUGGUAUAUCUCUUAGUUAAUUCAUCUUCUUCUCCUUUUUAUUUAUUUAUUUUUUGUAUGCAACAAUACGACUUGGUUAUUUAGUCUUUUAAGGUCAUUGUGGUGUAGUUGCAAAGUUUCUUCAAACUAACGUGCUACCUUGCUGAUAAUUAAUAUUUUUUCUUUGGAGAAAAUGGGUAAAAGCAAGGUGCUUGAUAUUUUUAGCUUUUCCUGGCACUGAGAGUGGAUAUAUUGAUUUCUGCAAGUGGCUACAAGAAAAGCCAGUGUAUUGGUGUGGGGACAUUUUUUACUAGGAGAAGAGAAAAUAGCCAUCUAUAAUUUAUCUAUAACUUCAGAAAAAAAAAAACAAAAAAGAGUAUAAUGUAGUAUUUCGGUGUCUUAAGCCCCCACAUUUAUCAUUUAUUGGUUUCAGAUGUAAAGAACUGAUACAAUAUUUUUCUUUUGUGGACUAGACAAUCUUAAAUCACACCUUCUGAUUGUUUUCUGUUAUAGCUUGUUGGAAGGUGAAAAGUUGGAGUUUCAUCAGUCUCUUAACUCUAUCAAUUUAGAACUUCAGGUAAUUUUUAUUCAUGCAUUUCUUUAGCAGUCACAUAAUAUAGAUAUGGCAAAAUGUGCCAAAAUUCAGUUUUUCAUAUUUCUUCACCUGCAACAGAAUGGAUCAGCAAGGGUACGGACAGCCCCCACCUGCAGGGGUAGUGGGUAGUACAGGUCAGAUGCCGUAUGGCACAAACCCUUAUCAGCCAAAUCAAACGUCUUCUGCCCAAAAUCCAGGAUCCAUUGGGACCAUCCAAUCUGCUGGGCAGCCAGCAGGAGCUCAGCUUGCGCAGAAUCAACUUGCUUAUCAGCAAAUCCACCAUCAACAGCAACAGCAACUACAGCAACAACUUCAGACUUUUUGGGUAAAUCAGUAUCAAAAAGUGGACAAAGUUGUUGACUUCAAGAAUCAUAGCCUUCCCUUAGCAAGGAUCAAGAAGAUCAUGAAGGCUGAUGAGGAUGUAAGGAUGAUAUCAGCUGAGGCCCCAGUUGUAUUUGCCAGGGCGUGUGAAAUGUUUAUUUUAGAACUGACCUUACGGUCUUGGAAUCAUACAGAGGAGAACAAAAGGAGGACAUUACAAAAGAAUGAC
rnacentral:misc_RNA from 1 species